rnacentral:misc_RNA from 1 species
UACGGAGGGAGCUAGGGUUGUUCGGAAUUACUGGGCGUAAAGCGCACGUAGGCGGCUUUGUAAGUUAGAGGUGAAAGCCCGGAGCUCAACUCCGGAAUUGCCUUUAUGACUGCAUCGCUUGAAUCCGGGAGAGGUGAGUGGAAUUCCGAGUGUAGAGGUGAAAUUCGUAGAUAUUCGGAAGAACACCAGUGGCGAAGGCGGCUCACUGGACCGGAACUGACGCUGAGGUGCGAAAGCGUGGGGAGCAAACAGG